UACGGAGGGUGCAAGCGUUGUCCGGAUUUAUUGGGUUUAAAGGGUGCGUAGGCGGCCCCUUAAGUCAGUGGUGAAAGCCCGCGGCUCAACCGCGGAACUGCCAUUGAUACUGGGGGGCUUGAGUACAGACGAGGUAGGCGGAAUUGAAGAUGUAGCGGUGAAAUGCUUAGAUAUCUUCAAGAACACCGAUUGCGUAGGCAGCUUACUAGGCUGUAACUGACGCUGAGGCACGAAAAGCGUGGGGAGCGAACAGG
rnacentral:rRNA from 1 species